GAUGAACGCUGGCGGCGUGCUUAACACAUGCAAGUCGAACGGGAUCCAUCAAGCUUGCUUGGUGGUGAGAGUGGCGAACGGGUGAGUAAUGCGUGACCGACCUGCCCCAUACACCGGAAUAGCUCCUGGAAACGGGUGGUAAUGCCGGAUGUUCCAGUUGAUCGCAUGGUCUUCUGGGAAAGCUUUCGCGGUAUGGGAUGGGGUCGCGUCCUAUCAGCUUGACGGCGGGGUAACGGCCCACCGUGGCUUCGACGGGUAGCCGGCCUGAGAGGGCGACCGGCCACAUUGGGACUGAGAUACGGCCCAGACUCCUACGGGAGGCAGCAGUGGGGAAUAUUGCACAAUAGGCGCAAGCCUGAUGCAGCGACGCCGCGUGAGGGAUGGAGGCCUUCGGGUUGUAAACCUCUUUUAUCGGGGAGCAAGCGUGAGUGAGUUUACCCGUUGAAUAAGCACCGGCUAACUACGUGCCAGCCGCCGCCGUAA
rnacentral:rRNA from 1 species